rnacentral:rRNA from 1 species
UUUAUGGAGAGUUUGAUCCUGGCUCAGGAUGAACGCUGGCGGCGUGCCUAAUACAUGCAAGUCGAGCGAACGGACGAGAAGCUUGCUUCUCUGAUGUUAGCGGCGGACGGGUGAGUAACACGUGGAUAACCUACCUAUAAGACUGGGAUAACUUCGGGAAACCGGAGCUAAUACCGGAUAAUAUUUUGAACCGCAUGGUUCAAAAGUGAAAGACGGUCUUGCUGUCACUUAUAGAUGGAUCCGCGCUGCAUUAGCUAGUUGGUAAGGUAACGGCUUACCAAGGCAACGAUGCAUAGCCGACCUGAGAGGGUGAUCGGCCACACUGGAACUGAGACACGGUCCAGACUCCUACGGGAGGCAGCAGUAGGGAAUCUUCCGCAAUGGGCGAAAGCCUGACGGAGCAACGCCGCGUGAGUGAUGAAGGUCUUCGGAUCGUAAAACUCUGUUAUUAGGGAAGAACAUAUGUGUAAGUAACUGUGCACAUCUUGACGGUACCUAAUCAGAAAGCCACGGCUAACUACGUGCCAGCAGCCGCGGUAAUACGUAGGUGGCAAGCGUUAUCCGGAAUUAUUGGGCGUAAAGCGCGCGUAGGCGGUUUUUUAAGUCUGAUGUGAAAGCCCACGGCUCAACCGUGGAGGGUCAUUGGAAACUGGAAAACUUGAGUGCAGAAGAGGAAAGUGGAAUUCCAUGUGUAGCGGUGAAAUGCGCAGAGAUAUGGAGGAACACCAGUGGCGAAGGCGACUUUCUGGUCUGUAACUGACGCUGAUGUGCGAAAGCGUGGGGAUCAAACAGGAUUAGAUACCCUGGUAGUCCACGCCGUAAACGAUGAGUGCUAAGUGUUAGGGGGUUUCCGCCCCUUAGUGCUGCAGCUAACGCAUUAAGCACUCCGCCUGGGGAGUACGACCGCAAGGUUGAAACUCAAAGGAAUUGACGGGGACCCGCACAAGCGGUGGAGCAUGUGGUUUAAUUCGAAGCAACGCGAAGAACCUUACCAAAUCUUGACAUCCUUUGACAACUCUAGAGAUAGAGCCUUCCCCUUCGGGGGACAAAGUGACAGGUGGUGCAUGGUUGUCGU